rnacentral:tRNA from 1 species
GGCUGGAUAGAUCAGCUGGUAGAGCAUGAGACCCUUAAUCCCAAGGUUGUGGGUUCAAGCCCCAUGUUGGGUG